GGGGAUAUGGCGAAAUUGGUAGACGCUACGGACUUAAUUGGAUUGAGCCUUGGUAUGGAAACCCMMUAAGUGAUAACUUUCAAAUUCAGAGAAACCUGGAAUUAAUAAAAAGGGGCAAUCCUGAGCCAAAUCCUCUUUUCCGAAACCAAAGGUUCAGAAAGUGAAAAAAAAAAAAGGAUAGGUGCAGAGACUCAACGGAAGCUGUYCUAACAAAUGGAGUUGGCUGCGUUAGUAGAGAAAUCUUUCUCUCGAAAAUUCAGCAAGAAUGAAGUGAAGGAUAAACGUAUAUACAUACGUAUUGAAUACUAUAUCAAAUGAUUCAUGACGACCCAACUGAAUCUCUAUUUUUAUAUAUGAAAAAAGGAAGAAUUGGUGUGAAUAGAUUCCACAUUGAAGAAAGAAUCGAAUAUUCAUUGCUCAAACGAUUCACUCCAUAGUCUGAUAGAUCUUUUCAAGAACUGAUUAAUCGGACGAGAAUAAAGAUAGAGUCCCGUUCUACAUGUCAAUGCCGGCAACAAUGAAAUUUAUAGUAAGAGGAAAAUCCGUCGACUUUAAAAAUCGUGAGGGUUCAAGUCCCUCUAUCCCCAA
rnacentral:ncRNA from 1 species